rnacentral:rRNA from 14 species
UGAUGCCCUUAGAUGUUUUGGGCUGCACGCGCGCUACACUGAUGCGCUCAACGAGUUUAUGACCUUGCCCGGCAGGGUUGGGUAAUCUUCUUAAAACGCAUCGUGAUGGGGAUAGAUUAUUGCAAUUAUUAAUCUUCAACGAGGAAUGCCUAGUAAGCGCAAGUCAUCAGCUUGCGUUGAUUACGUCCCUGCCCUUUGUACACACCGCCCGUCGCACCUACCGAUUGAAUGUCUCGGUGAAAUCCCCGGAC